AGGACGAACGCUGGCGGCGUGCUUAACACAUGCAAGUCGAGCGGAGACAUGUAACGGAAGGCUUCGGCCGGAAGAUAUAUGUUUAGCGGCGGACGGGUGAGUAACGCGUGAGCAACCUGUCCUUCGACAGGGGGAUAAGAUACCGAAAGGUGUUCUAAUACCGCAUAAGACCACAACGUCACAUGGCGAAGGGGUCAAAGGAGCAAUCCGGUGAAGGGUGGGCUCGCGUCCGAUUAGAUAGUUGGUGAGGUAACGGCCCACCAAGUCGACGAUCGGUAGCCGACCUGAGAGGGUGAUCGGCCACAUUGGGACUGAGACACGGCCCAGACUCCUACGGGAGGCAGCAGUGGGGAAUAUUGGGCAAUGGGGGGAAACCCUGACCCAGCAACGCCGCGUGGAGGAAGAAGGUCUUCGGAUCGUAAACUCCUGUCCUAAGAGACGAGCAGGAGACGGUAUCUUAGGAGGAAGCCCCGGCUAACUACGUGCCAGCCGCCGC
rnacentral:rRNA from 1 species